ensembl:lncRNA
CUGCGAGCCCUUCAAAUCAGCACCCACAGACAUACCAGACAUAGCAAAAAGAGGAUUUUGACAGAGCACUUGUUAAAAUUGAGGGAUGAUUUUGAAAACUGGAGAAAACUCUUACACAGGACAUGCUUGAGAUGGCACAAUCCAAUGUCAUAAAACAACCAUUAAAAAAAAAGAAUAUAUAUGCAGUUGAAACUAAUCUUUAUCCUGUCGUACUCCUAUUAAUUCCUCCACCAAGAUAAUCAAAGAUCUUAAGCUCAAGCCCCACUGUGACUGCUGUAUGUUCCUGUCUCGUCAAUUACACAGUGAACUCCUUGGAGUUGCAAAUCUGAUUGUUUCCCUGCAGACCCAGAGCUCUCAGCCUGGCUGACAGCAGAGACCAGUCUUCAAUUAAUGUUCCCUGAAUUGAAUCAUUGGUCUCUUUGAGAACUGCUCAUCCCAAAGUCCAAAUGGCAAAAAGAUGGACUACUCCAGUCUGCAAGUUUGAGGAAAGGGGAGACUCAGCCCAGUGAUGUGGUCUGGGUUUAAGGAGGACAACAAGGACAUGGCACAAGAAUUUGGUGUCUCACGAGAACUUUGCAACAGAGGAAAUGAAUCGACACUGAGAGUUAUAUCUACAUGCAAAGUGAAAGUGAAAAUCGCUCAGUCAUAGCCAACUCUUUGCGACCCAUUGGACUGUACAGUCCGUGGAAUUCUCCUGACCAGAAUACUGGAGUGGGUAGCUGUUCCCUCUCCCAGGGGAUCUUCCCAACCCGGGGAUCUUCCCAACCCAGGGAUGGAACCCAGGUCUCCUGCAUUGCAGGUGGAUUCUUUACCAGCCG